rnacentral:rRNA from 1 species
CGCAUGGAUUUGUGUGAAAAACUCCGGUGGUGUAAGAUGGACCCGCGUCUGAUUAGCUUGUUGGCGGGGUAACGGCCCACCAAGGCGACGAUCAGUAGCCGGCCUGAGAGGGUGGACGGCCACAUUGGGACUGAGACACGGCCCAAACUCCUACGGAAGGCAGCAG